AUUGAACGCUGGCGGCAGGCCUAACACAUGCAAGUCGAGCGGGGUUUUCGGACCUAGCGGCGGACGGGUGAGUAAUGCGUAGGAAGCUGCCCGAUAGAGGGGGAUACCAGUUGGAAACGACUGUUAAUACCGCAUAAUGUCUACGGACCAAAGUGUGGGACCUUCGGGCCACAUGCUAUCGGAUGCGCCUACGUGGGAUUAGCUAGUUGGUGAGGUAAUGGCUCACCAAGGCGACGAUCUCUAGCUGGUUUGAGCGGAUGAUCAGCCACACUGGAACUGAGACACGGUCCAGACUCCUACGGGAGGCAGAGGUGGGGAAUAUUGGACAAUGGGCGCAAGCCUGAGCCAGCCAUGCCGCGUGUGUGAAGAAGGCCUUCGGGUUGUAAAGCACUUUCAGCGAGGAGGAAGGGUGGUGUGUUAAUAGCACAUCAUUUUGACGUUACUCGCAGAAGAAGCACCGGCUAACUCUGUGCCAGCCGCCGCCGUAAAAC
rnacentral:rRNA from 1 species